UACGGGGGGAGCAAGCGUUGUUCGGAUUUACUGGGCGUAAAGGGCGCGUCGGCGGCCACCGCAGGUCAGUUGUGAAAUCUCUGGGCUUAACCCAGAACGGUCAGCUGAUACUGCGGGGCUAGAGUGCAGAAGGGGCAACUGGAAUUCUCGGUGUAGCGGUGAAAUGCGUAGAUAUCGAGAGGAACACCUGCGGCGAAGGCGGGUUGCUGGGCUGACACUGACGCUGACAGCGCGAAAGCUAGGGGAGCGAACGGG
rnacentral:rRNA from 1 species